AAACACCAGCAUGCACACGGAGAUGAUGAUGACCACUGUGGCGAUGCUUGGGACCACUGGAACAAGGAAGGAAUCCACGUGACAUGGUGAACGGAAGGACCAGCUCAGUCUUGGGAUGGCGUGUGAAUGAAACAUCCAUGUCCACAAAUGAGGGGAAGGUGGAAGACCAGAGGACUGAAUGCACCUUGGAGUAUAACUAGGAAAUGGCCCUGCCAGGACAAGCGAUAAUUCAACUUACUCCACCUCCACCAGAUGGAUCUCCCAAUGAUGGACAUGUUGGAAAGCACAAUCGGGAAGUUUCUGAAGAGCUUAGACCAAUGCUGCUGAAUAAGUCCUUUUACCAUGUGUGUAUUAAGGUGCAGCUAGAUUUUUUCUUUGUGCCUCUUUAGCUUUUCUCCUGAUUAUCACAACAAGACACGCUCACCUUAGAACCUUUUGCACUUGCCGCAAACUGAAUGGGAACAGAGAGAAAUGGGCUCUUACGCUUCUUGGAGAACAGCACGGUUAGCAUUCGCCUUUUCUUCCUGGCAUUUUUCUGAGUAUGUGUCGGUACUCUGUAAUUUGCAUCUUGCCUUCUUUCAUCCACCAUUUGGUUGUUUGCUUUGCUAUUAGAAAUUCCCUGCUGUGGUGAAGAGCGCUGUCGUUCUCAAGUGUGACCUGAUGCGACUGUGAGGACUGAAGGCCCCCGCCCCACAACCCAGCGUGCAUCCGUACCUGUGGCCUUCGGCUC